ACAGCAGUAGCCACGGGAAUACGAAGGGUGCAAGCGUUACUCGGAAUUACUGGGCGUAAAGCGUGCGUAGGUGGUGGUUUAAGUCCGUUGUGAAAGCCCUGGGCUCAACCUGGGAAUUGCAGUGGAUACUGGGUCACUAGAGUGUGGUAGAGGAUAGUGGAAUUUCCGGUGUAGCAGUGAAAUGCGUAGAGAUCGGAAGGAACAUCUGUGGCGAAGGCGACUAUCUGGGCCAACACUGACACUGAGGCACGAAAGCGUGGGGAGCAAACAGGAUUAGAUACCCGUGUAGUCCCUGUCUCUUAUAC
rnacentral:rRNA from 1 species